rnacentral:misc_RNA from 1 species
GAUGAAGAACGCAGCGAAAUGCGAUAAGUAGUGUGAAUUGCAGAAUUCAGUGAAUCAUCGAAUCUUUGAACGCACAUUGCGCCCCUUGGUAUUCCAUGGGGCAUGCCUGUUCGAGCGUCAUCUACACCCUCAAGCUCUGCUUGGUGUUGGGCGUCUGUCCCGCCUCUGCGCGCGGACUCGCCCCAAAUUCAUUGGCAGCGGUCCUUGCCUCCUCUCGCGCAGCACAUUGCGCUUCUCGAGGUGCGCGGCCCGCGUCCACGAAGCAACAUUACCGUCUUUGACCUCGGAUCAGGUAGGGAUACCCGCUGAACUUAAGCAUAUCAAUAAGCGGAGGA